rnacentral:rRNA from 1 species
GACGAACGCUGGCGGCGUGCUUAACACAUGCAAGUCGAACGGAAAGGCCCGGCGUUUGCGGGGUGCUCGAGAGGGGAGCGGGUGAGUGACACGUGAGUAACCUGCCCUUGACUUUGGGAUAACUUCAGGGAACUGGGGCUAAUACCGGAUAUGAGCUCCUGCUGCAUGGGGUGGGUUGGUGAGUUUCGGCGGUUGGGUAUGGACUCGCGGCUUAUCCGCUUGUUGGUGGGGUAGUGGCGUACGAAGGCUUUGACGGGUAGCCGGCCUGGGAGGGUGACCGGACACCUUGGGACUGAGAGAGGGCCCAGACUCCUACGGGACGCAGUAGUGGGGAAUAUUGCAGAAUGGGACGAAGACUGAUGCAGCAACGCCCCGUGCGGGAUGAUGGCCUUCGGGUUGUAAACCGCUUUGGCAGGUGACGAGGCGUGAGUGACGGUAAUGGGUAAAGAAGCAACGGCUAACUACGUG